AAUCCCCAAUCCCAAUGCAUGCUUGGGAUUGUAGUCCGGCAACCUGUGACCAACGGCCGGAAGUGGCUAGGAGACUACUUCUCCCAGCAUGCCUGGCGAGGCGCGCACCGCGCUGGCCCUCUCUCCUGGGACACGCACCGCCUCCAAUCCUGGUUUAUGCUGGGAUUGUAGUCAGGCAGCCCUGUGAGCAAUUUUUCAGAUUAACUCUUAAGUACUCCACGGCUACAUGCUCCUGAAGCUGUCAUAGUCACAGCCUCAGAUCUGUGCAGGGCGGAUGCACAAGAGCAGAAUCUCCGUGGACAUCUUUCUGGAGCAUCAAUUUUACUGCAAGAUUUUGAAGAAACACAUUUAAUUGAUUUUCAAGGAUUGCAGAAACCGUGAAUGAGGAGGGCCGACUCUAUCUAUGUUUGGAGUCUGUGAAUAUGAACUCUUCCUAUGUUGGUAAAUGGAAAUUUCUUUCACCAAAUGGCUGAACUGCUUUUUCACUGGCAUGUUCAAAAAACUUACAAGAAGAAGGACAAGAACUGAGAAAGAGAAAGGAUAAGAACUGAACAUCAGUGGGAGGCUGAGACAGGUGGAUCACUUGAGGUCAGGAGAGCGAGACCAGCCUGGCCAACGUGGUGAAACCCCGUCUCUACUAAAAGUACAAAAAUUAGCUGGGCAUGGCAGUGGGCACCUGUAAUCCCAGCUACUGGGGAGGCUUAGGCAGGAGAAUCACUUGAAUUUGGGAGGUGGACGUUGCAGUGAGCCGAGGUGGCACCACUGCACUCUAGCUCGGGCGACAGAGGGAGACUCCAUCCAAAAAACAAAACAAAAAAAACGCAACAAAAAACAUUGGCAAGUGGCACAUUUUCACAAACUAGAAGAGUGGAAUUGUAACAAGCACUCUGAUAGAAAGUCAUGGUUCUUUCCUGCAACUGUCUUUUAAAAAUACUGUGAUUUUCAGAAAAGAGAAAAAAAGAUAUAAUAGGUUAUAAAUUCAUUAGAAAAGAGAGAAAAUAAAUAAUCCCCAGAAGUAAAUUGUCAGCCAGUUUCAAGGUAAAAUGUAGACACAUUAUCCUUGAUCUUUCUGAAUAAUUUUACAGCUUAGGGUAUAGGAGCUUCUAUCACUGCAGAACCAGGGUCACCUGUGGAAAGUCCCUGGUGAAGUCAGCUCCCUUCCAGCCUGUUCCUCAGGCCCAGCAGUAAUGAGUUGUUCUUCCUCCAAGUCAAUCCGUUCAUUGGCAGCAAACCCUGAUAUUUUGGAUAGUAGUUGCUUUUGAUCUUAGAUUUUAACAGAAAGUUUGAUGAAAAGUCUUCAAGACUUACAAGCAUGACCCUCACUUCAGUCAGUCAGUCUGCCCCAGAAGUCCUUGAUUCAACGUAUAGAGAUGGGCAUUUUGAGCAUGUCCUUAAGGCUGAGGUGCAGCCCUAUGGCACAGACUCAUUCUGAAAGAAGCCCAAGUCCCACCCUGAGCUCUCUGUCUCCCAUGUGUGGGCUUAUCAGGGAAGACAGAAGCCCAGAGACCCCUGCACUUGGGGAUCGGCCAUAGGAGCUGCUUCCUGGGUGGGGAGAUGGGAGCUAGCAGCUCAGAAUGGGGCCAUAAGGUAAGUUCCAAACAGCUGUGUCACAGAGUAUGUCAGCAGAACUUUGUGACAUCAGUUGCAAAGAGAGGGAGCAUGUGAAGGACAAAGCCCUGAGUGAUGACAUAGCCCAUUCCGGGGAAGGGAAGAAAUUAGCAUCCUAAGGUUAUAAUAUAGAUAACCAAUGUGCAACAACUACAAUAACAAAAAUUUAACUGCCAAAGAAAAUUAGGAAUAUAGAGCAUCUCAGAAAAAACUCGGUUUAUAUUAGCUACUUCUACAAAACCAUAUAUAUAAUAAUUUUUUGUUUUGUUUUGUUUUUUGAGAUGGAGUCUUGCUCUGUCGCUCAGACUGGAGUGCAGUGGUGCGAUCUCAGCUCACUGCAACCUCCGCCUCCCGGGUUCAAGCAAUUCUCUGCCUUAGCCUCCCGAGUAGCUGGGAUUACAGGCACCCACCACCACACCUGGCUAAUUUUUGUAUUUUUAGUAGAGAUGGGGUUUCACCAUCUUGGCCAGGCUGGUCUUGAACUCCUGACUUCAUGAUCCACCUGCCUCGGCCUCUCAGACUGCUGGGAUUACAGGCAUGAGCCACCACACCCGACCAGAACCAUAUUUUUUAAAGUAAAUAUUAACAUCAAUUUUGGAAACAUAACAAUUGUAAUGAAACUUGGAAAAUCUUUAACCAAGGUCAAAUUCUAGUAAACAUUAAAGUACUAACUUUCCAGGGAAUCAUUACCAAUGUGAGAGAUGUGGGAAAGUCUUUUGCCAAUGUGGAAACAUUAUUAUCCAUCAGAGUAUACAUAUUCAACAGAGGCCUUACAAAUGCAAUUAAUGUGGUGAAACUUUGAGCCAGUCCUCAAAACUUACUCAACAGCAGAGAAGUCAUGUUGGAAAAAAUCGCAUACAGAUGCAAAAUAUGUGGGAAAAUAUUCAGUCAGUCAUCAAAUAUAAAUAGACAUAAGAUAAUUCUUAUUGGAGAGAAACGGUUGAAACGUAAAACAUAUGCCAAAGCUUUUCACUGUUACUCAAACUUUACAUAACACCAGAGAAUCCAUACAUGAAGAGAAAUUCUACAAACGUAAUAAGUGUGACAAAGCAUUUAACUGAUGCUUGUGUCUUACUCAACAUCAGAAAAUUAAUACUGGAGAGAAACCCUAAAAAUGUAAAGAAUGUGGCAAAUUUUUAAUGUGGGCUCAAACCUUACCACACACACACAAGAUUUAUGCUAGAGAGACAUGCUGCAAGUGUAAAAAAUGAGGCAGAACCUUUAACUGGUGUUCACAACUUACCCAACAUCAGAGAAUUAAUACUGGAUAGAAACCUUAUACAUGUAAGAAAUUUGGAAAGAACUUUGUCCAUAUACCUUAGAGAACACUACAGUAUUUGCACUGGAGAAACACUUUACAAAUGUUGGUAAAAUGAAUAGUUGGUAGUAAAACCAUUAAUGUUUUCUCACAUCUUAGCAGAGAAUUUGUAUAGGAGAGAACCCCUGCAAAUGUAAUAAACAUGAAAAAAUUUUGUCUAAAAUGUACAUCUAGGAAACAUCAGAGAGUUCAUACAGAAAAAAAAUCUACAGAUGCAAUAAAUGUGGAAAAGUAUUCAGUCAAAAA